rnacentral:lncRNA from 1 species
GCCCCUCCGGCGCCACUGGUCGAGGCCAUCCUAGUGAUCUCUACCGAGGAGGCGGCGGGGGUGGCAGACGCAACGUCGACCAUGGCAUCGCCCACCGUCUCGGACCUCCUACGCGGCAUCCCCGACACCCCAGAUGCCACCCGGAGCCCCGAGGCGGCUAACUUCGAGGGGGCCCAGUCCCUCGAGGCGACCUGGGGAAUCAGUCGAGGAGCAUAUCAUCCCACCCCCAUCAUCGGGGUGGGUGGUGACCUUGUUCGCGCUGGACUAUACCUCUCGACGUGGGAAGGGCCGACCGUGACAUAGAUGGCACUGAGGGCAACCCCUACUUCGUCCUCGAUGACGCAAAGGAGAAGUAGAUGUGGUCAGAAUUCCGAACAAUAGAUCGGGUAAGGGAAUCAUUCCUUAGCGCUAGAGAUCCCUUCCGCUGAGUGGUGUGAUGAUGUGGCUCUUCUCCUUUACAGGGGCUUAUGCGAAGUCCGCGACCAAGUCGAUUUUCAUUCAUCGUGAGCGCGACGUCUGGGCCGUGUUGCAACACCAUCAGGCCAUGUUGUGUCGUUCAAACGAACAACUGGCUUUGAAGAGUGUCGAGGCGAUGGAC